GAAAUGCGAUAAGUAAUGUGAAUUGCAUAAUUCAGUGAAUCAUCGAAUCUUUGAACGCACAUUGCGCCCCUUGGUAUUCCGAGGGGCAUGCCUGUUCGAGCGUCAUUACAACCCUCAAGCUCUGCUUGGUAUUGGGCUCCGUCCUCACUGCGGACGCGCCUCGAAGACCUCGGCGGUGGCUGUUCGGCCCUCAAGCGUAGUAGAAUACACCUCGCUUUGGAGCGGUCGGCGUCGCCUGCCGGACGAACCUUCUGAACUUUUCUCAAGGUUGACCUCGGAUCAGGUAGGGAUACCCGCUGAACUUAAGC
rnacentral:misc_RNA from 1 species